AUUAUUGAUUAUUUCCCAUUUCACCCAAGGUCAAUGACGUUCACUCAGCUUGCAACAACACAAGCUUAAACUCGUGGUUUAUUACUACCAGACGGCCCUAGACUAGUGGCUACAUCAAUGUGGACAGAGAGAGGAGAAGAUACAUUUUGUGCAACUAAAAUGGAAGACUGAGGAUCACAGAAUAUGCAGUAGAUCUAAUUGAAAAGGUGGAUAGAAUCGUCUGUUUUCGCGAGUGAAAAGAUGAGAAGUAUUGGAUAGCAGUCAGUUGUUGCAGUAACAGUUACAGUGUACUCUUGUUCAUUGAUGCGGUUAUUGAUGACGAUGAUGACAUGAUGCCUUCAUCACUCAUCUUGAUUAGUAUGCGGUUAAAGGUUAUAAAAUGGUUAAAGGCAUGCCAUCACCAAUAUGAUAAGAAGCAAUCAGUCUUAAUAUCUUGCAGCUGAAGAAAAGUAAUUGUACCAACAAUGUUAUACUGAAUCAUGAAAAUGUGUACAGACAUUCAUUGUUAUUAUUCUAUGGUGUAUAGCGUUUUUAUCACAUGUUGUUAAAAUCAGUAAAUACACACAUUGUUUUUCCUGAUGUAUCGGAUGAAAUGUAUAUACAACAUUAUCCUGUCACAGUGUGGUAAUGUGGAGAAAUUUACACAUGUUGUGAGAUAUAGACAUGUUAUCUAAUACAUAUAUUUUGAAAAGUGUUCCAAACAUUCUUAUGUUGUGAAGUUACAACAUUGUUAUCCUGUGGUUUGAUAGUUAUACAAAGGAUCUUAUUCAUGAAAAUGUAAAGAACAAUAUCAAUAUUUAACGUAAUAAACAGCACUGCAAUUUGGAAAUUUGGAACAAUUGUACAUAAAUUUUGGAAUAUGUACAGACAUGUUACAUGUACCUUGGUAUAUUUUUUUUUGUUGCUUUUCUAUGGUGUGAAAUGUUAUGCAGUAAUUGUUAUUAUAUUAUGCUUGGAAAGUUUGUACAUGUAUUGUUCUCCAGGUUAUAACACCUUGUACAUAAAUUGUUACAUUGUGGUAUGAAAAAGUUAACAACAGACAGUGUUGAUGUUAUUCUGUGGUAUAUAGACAUUGUUAUGUUGUGAUGUAUAAAAGAGAACAAAUAUAGUUACUCUGUGUUAAAAGUAAACAGACA